rnacentral:rRNA from 1 species
GAUGAACGCUGGCGGCGUGCUUAACACAUGUAAGUCGAAUCGAAAGUCCCUGCUUUUGUGGUGUGCUCGAGUGGCGAACGGGUGAGUAACACGUGAGUAACCUGCCCUUGACUUUGGGAUAAUUUCAGGAAACUCGGGCUAAUACCGUACAUGAGCUUCUCCUGCACUGUGGGGUUUGGAAAGAUUCGGCGGUUGGGGAUGGUCUCCCGGCUUGUCAGUUUGUUGGUGGGGUGGUGGCUUACCAAGGCUUUGUCGGGUAGCCGGCCUGAGAAGGUGACCGGCCACAUUGGCACUGAGGUACUGCACAGACUGCUACGGGAGCCAGAGGUGUGGGAUAUUCAACAAUGCGCGGAAGACGAAUGCAACAACGCCGCGCGCGGGAUGACCGCUUACGGGUUGUAACCCGCUUUCGCCUGCAACGAAGCGUGGGUGACGAUACUGGGUAAAGAAGCACCGCCUAACUAGGUG